rnacentral:rRNA from 1 species
CAGAGACUUGAUCUCUCUAAAGGUUCGUCAAAGACGAUGACGUUGAUAGGCUCGGUGUGGAAGCGCAGCAAUGCGUUGAGCUAACGAGUACUAAUUGACCGUGCGGCUUGAUCCU